AGAAGACCGGUAACUCCGUGCAGUAGCCGCGGUAAUACGGGGGUGCAAGCGUUACUCGGAAUCACUGGGCGUAAAGAGCAUGUAGGCUGAUUAGUAAGUUGGAAGUGAAAUCCUAUGGCUCAACCAUAGAACUGCUUCCAAAACUGCUUAUCUAGAGUAUGGGAGAGGUAGAUGGAAUUUCUGGUGUAGGGGUAAAAUCCGUAGAGAUCAGAAGGAAUACCGAUUGCGAAGGCGAUCUACUGGAACAUUACUGACGCUGAGAUGCGAAAGCGUGGGGAGCAAACAGGAUUAGAUACCCUGGUAGUCCACGCCCUAAACGAUGCACACUAGUUGUUGCUAUGCUAGACAUAGCAGUAAUGCAGUUAACACAGUAAGUGUGCCGCCUGGGGAGUACGGUCGCAAGAUUAAAACUCAAAGGAAUAGACGGGGACCCGCACAAGCGGUGGAGCAUGUGGUUUAAUUCGACGAUACGCGAAGAACCUUACCUGGCCUUGACAUAGUAAGAAUCUAAUAGAGAUAUAAGAGUGCUAGUUUACUAGAGCUUACAUACAGGUGCUGCACGGCUGACGUCAGCUCGUGUCGUGAGAUGUUGGGUUAAGUCCCGCAACGAGCGCAACCCUCGUGUUUAGUUACUAACAGUUCGGCUGAGGACUCUAGACAGACUGCCUGGUAACCAGGAGGAAGGUGAGGACGACGUCAAGUCAUCAUGGCCCUUACGGCCAGGGCUACACACGUGCUACAAUGGGGUAUACAAAGAGCCGCGAUACCGUGAGGUGGAGCAAAUCUCAUAAAAUAUCUCCCAGUUCGGAU
rnacentral:rRNA from 1 species